GACGAACGCUGGCGGCGUGCUUAACACAUGCAAGUCGAACGGAAAGGCCCUGCUUUUGUGGGGUGCUCGAGUGGCGAACGGGUGAGUAACACGUGAGUAACCUGCCCUUGACUUUGGGAUAACUUCAGGAAACUGGGGCUAAUACCGGAUAGGAGCUCCUGCUGCAUGGUGGGGGUUGGAAAGUUUCGGCGGUUGGGGAUGGACUCGCGGCUUAUCAGCUUGUUGGUGGGGUAGUGGCUUACCAAGGCUUUGACGGGUAGCCGGCCUGAGAGGGUGACCGGCGACAUUGGGACUGAGAUACGGCCCAGACGCCUACGGGGGACAGCAGUGGAGAGUAUUGCACAAUGGGCGGAAGCCUGAUGCAGCAGCGCCGCGUGCGGAAUGACGGCCUUCGGGUUGUAAACCGCUUUCGCCUGUGACGAAGCGUGAGUGACGGUAAUGGGUAAAGAAGCACCGGCUAACUACGUG
rnacentral:rRNA from 1 species